rnacentral:rRNA from 1 species
GAUGAACGCUGGCGGCGUGCCUAAUACAUGCAAGUCGAGCGAACAGACGAGGAGCUUGCUCCUCUGGCGUUAGCGGCGGACGGGUGAGUAACACGUGGAUAACCUACCUAUAAGACUGGGAUAACUUCGGGAAACCGGAGCUAAUACCGGAUAAUAUAUUGAACCGCAUGGUUCAAUAGUGAAAGACGGUUUUGCUGUCACUUAUAGAUGGAUCCGCGCCGCAUUAGCUAGUUGGUAAGGUAACGGCUUACCAAGGCAACGAUGCGUAGCCGACCUGAGAGGGUGAUCGGCCACACUGGAACUGAGACACGGUCCAGACUCCUACGGGAGGCAGCAGUAGGGAAUCUUCCGCAAUGGGCGAAAGCUUGACGGAGCAACGCCGCGUGAGUGAUGAAGGUCUUCGGAUCGUAAAACCCUGUUAUUAGGGAAGAACAAAUGUGUAAGUAACUAUGCACGUCUUGACGGUACCUAAUCAGAAAGCCACGGCUAACUACGUG